rnacentral:rRNA from 1 species
GCGUGAGUGAAGAAGGCCUUAGGGUUGUAAAGCUCUUUCACCGGUGAAGAUAAUGACGGUAGCCGGAGAAGAAGCCCCGGCUAACUCCGUGCCAGCAGCCGCGGUAAGACGGAGGGGGCUAGCGUUGUUCGGAAUUACUGGGCGUAAAGCGCGCGUAGGCGGUUAUCCAAGUUGAGGGUGAAAUCCCAGGGCUCAACCCUGGAACGGCCUUCAAAACUGGAUUGACUUGAGAUCGGGAGAGGAGAGUGGAAUUCCCAGUGUAGAGGUGAAAUUCGU